GACGAACGCUGGCGGCGGGCUUAACACAUGCAAGUCGAACGGAAAGGCCCUGCUUGUGUGGGGUGCUCGAGUGGCGAACGGGUGAGUAACACGUGAGUAACCUGCCCUUGACUUUGGGAUAACUUCAGGAAACUGGGGCUAAUACCGGAUAGGAGCUCCUGCUGCAUGGUGGGGGGUGGAAAGUUUCGGCGGUUGGGGAUGGACUCGCGGCUUAUCAGCUUGUUGGUGGGGUAGUGGCUUACCAAGGCUUUGACGGGUAGCCGGCCUGAGAGGGUGACCGGCCACAUUGGGACUGAGAUACGGCCCAGACUCCUACGGGAGGCAGCAGUGGGGAAUAUUGCACAAUGGGCGGAAGCCUGAUGCAGCAACGCCGCGUGCGGGAUGACGGCCUUCGGGUUGUAAACCGCUUUCGCCUGUGACGAAGCGUGAGUGACGGUAAUGGGUAAAGAAGCACCGGCUAACUACGUG
rnacentral:rRNA from 1 species